CUUGGCCUCCUCGCUGAUUAUUCUCUUGAAUGUUUUCUCUCCCUUUAUGGCUCCAUUUUUUUUUUUCAUUUGUUUCAUGUUGUUUGUGUCAGUAUAUUUAAGCUCUGGGUUGGCUUUUUUGGAUCUUUUCUAACAAAACUUUGUUUAUGUUUUCCUUUCUUUUUCUCCUUGCUAGAUUAUCUGUGCCUUUCCUGUAGUUUUAUUCUAUGAGCAACUGCAGAGAAUUUGUUAGUGCAGUUGAAGAUUUUCCCAUUUGUUUGCUGGAAUCUUCCUUCUCACUCCAAGUCUUCUUAUUUUCAGGAGGUGUCACCUUCUAUGUAAUAUCACUUGGAUACUGAAACUUCUCCAUGAACUGGAAGAAUGUAUGCUUCAGUGUGAAAUAGAAGAAAGAAGCUUACAAUGUCCACCCAAUUUACUAAGAAACAGACGAGUUUUGGAGGUUUAGAAUGAUGUGGUUUGGACCAAAAGAUAUGAUUGCUCCAAAUAACCCCGUGAUUUUGGAUGAUUGAUUAUGGGAAUGCUGCUUUUACUGUACAUCCAAGCUCUCGUGGCCUCAGCGGAUAAGUAUAUGAGAGCACAGUUUUCCUGGUGUCAGAAUAUGAAGAUCCAGGGAACAAAGAACCUCAAAGAACACCUGGAUUGUCAAGGUUUGGCCGGCAGUGCACUUUCUCCAACCUUACAGUCACAUGCAAGACAUUCCUUCUCCCUUUGAAGAAAUCCACAAAAGAAAAAGCAAAAUACUGACAAGUUUUCAAAGCCAUGAUUUACAGGAAUGAAUUCUGAAAAGCAAGUGGCUAACAUCCGAGUUCAUCAUCAAAUAAUAUUUCUAAAGCACCCUCUAGUGUCUGGCCCCAAGCCAGAUGAUUCAACGCCUGGAGAAGCUACAGACUUUUUCAAAGUAAAAUAGACUCACGUCUGCUCUUGAGAAGCAAGUCGGCAUCAUUUAGGAUGCCUUAGGAAUGUCUCUCUAAAUAAGGAUUAAAAAUGGAUUGCUGUAGAAAAAUUAAUACAGGUACAAACACUAAUAAUAUUGAGUGCAAUUUAAAUUCCAUUUUAAAAUAGAUAAUAGGGUUUAAAAUAACAUGUCGAAAAUUGUACUGGAAUUAGCAAAAUUUAAAAUCUUAGGAAGAAGAAUCCUGAUUUGUGUGUGAAAAGGUUUUGAACUGAGGAAAAUUAAGACUAGCAAGAGUAGAUAGGGGUUGUCUAGUAGGAAUCAUAGACCCAUCAGCCAUCUGAUUAUGCUGUGACUGAUACUAGCCUGUAGUUUUCACCCAGUAAAUUAUCAAGUGGUACAGUAGAAAGAGCAUGGUAUGUAGAAUCAUAAGACUCAUAGUUUGGGGUCAACUCUACUAGUCACUUGGCCAUGUGGUUUGGAACACAUCACAAAAGAUUUAUGAGCCUUUGCUUCUUCACAUGUAAAAUUGUGAUGAUUUUGCCAACUUCAUAGAAUUGUUUAGACUUUAGAGUAUUACAUAGGAUACAACGGACUAGUUCCUUGAACAAAGUACUUGUCCCCAAAAUGUUACUAUUUUUUCUAGUUGUGUGAUUGAUUUUGCAAUCAGCAAUUUAAUAUUAUGCAUUCAAUACGUUUAUAAUAUGCAUUCAAUGUGACUCGCAUAUAUUUCAUAAAAACAAAUUUGAAUAUUUUUCUCAUUUUGUCAUUCACAUAUCUUUGAGAAUGGCAUCAUAGUUUUAUUUUGAUAAUGAAGUAAUACAGUCAAUUCCUGAAUAGGCUAGUUGACUUUAAUGAGAAAUACCCAUUUAUUCAUUCAUUCAUUCAUUUCAUUUUCAACUUUUAAAUUAAAUCCAUAAUGGCCCCUUCACUAUGGGGUUCUUAUAUUAAUAAGAUGGACCAGAUACUUUUAUCACCUACAAAAAAAAUCUUUGUAGGCGGAGCAAUAAAGAGUACUGAAUCAUUUUAAGAAGUCACAUAGAAAAUGACUUUUGAACAUGGAAGGACUCGGCUUGAUCAAGCAAAUUCUAUUUCAAAGUUUUACUUGCAAGGUUAUUUAUUACUGUGUGGAAUCUCACUCCUGGGGCUGGGGUCAAGAAAAAUGGGGACACAGGUGUCUGCCUAUUUGCACAAGCAUUAAAAAGUAUUGUAAAAUGA